UCUUGGCUUUCCUUCUUCCUUAUUUUAUCAUGGCAAUCCAAACAAUACUCAUAGCAUUUAUGGUAUAUUCAUUUUGUGGUGGGGUGAAGCCAUAGAUGCACUGGAUGCAGCCCCUGGGGCAUGAAGAAGUUCUCAUUUUCCCCAAAUAAGGUUUUUAAUAGUUGGGAUGUGUUCAAGUGACAACAUUUAAUGUUUUAAUAUUUGAAUCCUCUCAUUUUAAUGUGAUUGUACCCUCCAUGUCUUACAUUUUAUUCUAAAGAAUAUUUUCUUUGAUCCUUUUUAAAAAACAAAUGAGCAUGACUUAUUCAGUUAGGACAAAUAGUCACCUAGAUACUGGUGAUGGGUAGGGGAUGGUAAAGGUUUCUGGGAUCCUUCAUGUUGACAUCAGCUACUGUUGGGUCAACUCACACAUAAGACUAACUGAGUCACAUUAAUGUUGAUCUUAAAUUAUUCUAGUAGGUAUAAAAUAUUCUUGUUACCACUAAGGAGUUCACUUAUUUUAUUUUUAUGACCACAAGAAUAAACUGUAUCCUUGCAUGAAUUGGUAUUAGAAAUGUCAGGUAAUAUAAACAAAAGCAAACUCAUAGGUCCAAAUCGAGGGUUAAUGUUAAUGUUAAUGGAGAGUUACUUACUUGCU
rnacentral:lncRNA from 1 species